AGAUUGAACGCUGGCGGCAUGCCUAACACAUGCAAGUCGAACGGGAGUAGCAAUACUCUAGUGGCGGACGGGUGAGGAAUACGUAGGAAUUUGCCCUUAAGUGGGGGAUAACCCGGGGAAACCCGGAUUAAUACCGCAUGACCUCGAAAGAGCAAAGUGGGGGAUCGCAAGACCUCACGCUUUUGGAGAAGCCUACGUCGGAUUAGCUAGUUGGUGAGGUAAUGGCUCACCAAGGCGACGAUCCGUAACUGGUCUGAGAGGAUGAUCAGUCACACCGGAACUGAGACACGGUCCGGACUCCUACGGGAGGCAGCAGUGGGGAAUAUUGGACGAUGGGCGCAAGCCUGAUCCAGCAAUGCCGCGUGUGUGAAGAAGGCCUUCGGGUUGUAAAGCACUUUAAGUUGGAAGAAAAAACUCGCUACGUAACACAGUGAGUCUUGACGUACGACAGAAUAAGCACCGGACUAACUCUGUGCCAGCAGCCGAC
rnacentral:rRNA from 1 species